rnacentral:rRNA from 1 species
AGGACAACGCUGGCGGCGUGCUUAAAACAUGCAAGUCGAACGGACUUCUCAUGAAGCUUGCGAUUGAGAAGUUAGUGGCGGACGGGUGAGUAACGCGUGGGCAACCUGCCCCUGAGCCCGGGAUAACAGUUCGAAAGGACUGCUAAGACCGGAUAUACUUGCGGUGAAGCAUUUCACUGCAAGGAAAGGGAACGCUCAGGGAUGGGCCCGCGUCCCAUUAGCUAGUUGGUGAGGUAACGGCCCACCAAGGCGACGAUGGGUAGCCGGCCUGAGAGGGUGAACGGCCACACUGGGACUGAGACACGGCCCAGACUCCUACGGGAGGCAGCAGUUGGGAAUCUUCGGCAAUGGGCGCAAGCCUGACCGAGCAACGCCGCGUGAGUGAUGAAGGUUUUCGGAUUGUAAAGCUCUGUCUUCCGGGACGAUAAUGACGGUACCGGAGGAGGAAGCCACGGCUAACUACGUG